CCAUGCGUGAGGCAUCCCUUCUCUUCUUUCUUGUCGCCUAAAAGAAAUAAAGGUAGAAGGGGGCGACUAAGAGUUGGACGCCCCAUAUCUCAUACGCCUUGUCUCUCCUCUUCUCCUCCCUUCUUGAAAGGAUUUUUGAGAGAGUUUGCUGCUAGUUUUUGGGCAUCAAAGAGAGGCUCCUCUGCUGGUUACACAGUAGAAAAUUG
rnacentral:lncRNA from 1 species